rnacentral:rRNA from 1 species
AAUGCAGUCGAGCGGAAACGAGUUAUCUGAACCUUCGGGGAACGAUAACGGCGUCGAGGGCGGACGGGUGAGUAUGCCUAGGAAAUUGCCCUGAUGUGGGGKAUAACCAUUGGAAACGAUGGCUAAUACCGCAURAUGCCUACGGSCAAAGAGGGGGACCUUCGGGCCUCUCGCGUCAGGAUAUGCCUWGGUGGGAUUAGCUAGUUGGUGAGGUAAGGGCUCACCWAGGCGACGAUCCCURGCUGGUCUGAGAGGAUGAUCAGCCAYACUGGAACUGAGACACGGUCCAGACUCC